GGGAUUGUAGUAUAGUGGUCAGUACUUCUCGUUGUGGUCAUUCACAGCGACCGAGAGGACCCAGGUUCGAUUCCUGGCAAUCCCA